GCCCUAACACAUGCAAGUCGAACGGUAACAGGAAGCAGCUUGCUGCUUCGCUGACGAGUGGCGGACGGGUGAGUAAUGUCUGGGAAACUGCCUGAUGGAGGGGGAUAACUACUGGAAACGGUAGCUAAUACCGCAUAACGUCGCAAGACCAAAGAGGGGGACCUUCGGGCCUCUUGCCAUCGGAUGUGCCCAGAUGGGAUUAGCUAGUAGGUGGGGUAACGGCUCACCUAGGCGACGAUCCCUAGCUGGUCUGAGAGGAUGACCAGCCACACUGGAACUGAGACACGGUCCAGACUCCUACGGGAGGCAGCAGUGGGGAAUAUUGCACAAUGGGCGCAAGCCUGAUGCAGCCAUGCCGCGUGUAUGAAGAAGGCCUUCGGGUUGUAAAGUACUUUCAGCGGGGAGGAAGGCGAUAAGGUUAAUAACCUCAUCGAUUGACGUUACCCGCAGAAGAAGCACCGGCUAACUCCGUGCCAGCAGCCGCGGUAAUACGGAGGGUGCAAGCGUUAAUCGGAAUUACUGGGCGUAAAGCGCACGCAGGCGGUCUGUCAAGUCGGAUGUGAAAUCCCCGGGCUCAACCUGGGAACUGCAUUCGAAACUGGCAGGCUAGAGUCUUGUAGAGGGGGGUAGAAUUCCAGGUGUAGCGGUGAAAUGCGUAGAGAUCUGGAGGAAUACCGGUGGCGAAGGCGGCCCCCUGGACAAAGACUGACGCUCAGGUGCGAAA
rnacentral:rRNA from 1 species